rnacentral:ncRNA from 20 species
ACCUUUGCCUCCGGUUUUGGUGUCACAAAUCCAGUUCUACGGAAAAGUGAUGAAAAGGGAAUCAGGUGAAAAUCCUGAACAGACCCGCUGCUGUAAGCUCCGCCAAAGUCGUUGAACACAACUCAAUCCACUGUUCGCAAUGAAUGGGAAGGACGUUCAAUGACGGAGUAAGUCAGAAGACCUGCCAGAAUCAGUAGUUUUAAG